GUAGGUUCCAGAAGGCGGCGCGUGCGGUUGGGAACGCGGAGCGGACGAAUUCGAUUCAACGGGGUUCCGGGCCAGGCUAUGGAGCAGGUGAAGGGGGAGGGGCGGCCGGGGCCCCGGGGCAGCGCAGGCCUGUUGGCGGGGAGAAGCGAGUGGUUGGGGGGCCGGGUCGGGCGGCCGAGGCGCGGGCGUGAGAGCCGCGGUCGGGCGUGUGAGGGGAGAAUGGCGAGCGCCCGUCGCCCCCGCGACCCGCCGAGUGGAGCGGGAACAGGCCUGGCCGCGGCCGGGCCCCGAAGCUUCUGGGGGCCGGGCCUCCUCAGCGCGGAGAGGCCCCUGUCGGCCGCUGCGAACUUGGAGGGAUCCGGUGACCGAUCACCCCAGCAGCCUUCGGGGUACACGGCAUCUGUGUGCGCCCGGGAAAAGGACCCGCGCGACUGCAGAGAAGGCGGGCGCGGACAGUGUCACCAGGGCUCCCUGAGGCAUACAUAUGUCGCCCCUCCCCCCACUUUUCGUAGUGACUGUGGGGUGACUGAGUAUCCGACCCUUGGAAAUUCCGUUCCCGAUUACACAGGAUUUAGUGGUUUUAGACAGUUGUGAGCCGAUAGUGAGGAGCUAGAAGUCCCUGUCUCUACCGCUCAGCAUCUGAUCUGGGGCACAGAGGGAAACCUGCCGUCCUUACCUUGGUGAUUUAGCUCAGGCUACAGUGGCCUGCAUCUGAGGCCUGGAGAGGUUUUGUUACCUUGGAAGCUGUCAUUGAACCGUUGUGAUUCAUCCAAACACACACAUACAAAAAGAGCACAGCUUACUACUACUUUUACUGUGAUGUAUAAAGUAAAACCUUUUGUUCUGGAAUAGUCACUGUGAGGGACCGUGGGGCCUCUCACCUUGUUAAUAAGACUAAAUGGAGAGGUUAAUCAACUUUCUGUACCCUUGGAGUAAUUAAACUGUAACUGCAGUACGGACAAGAGAGACGCUUUUUUGGUAUGAGUAACACCUUGCUCUGUUACAACAAAAAGAGGUUGUUUUUCAUUAUCAUUCAUUCAUUCAUUGUGUGGCACUAGGGAUCAAACACAGGGCCUGAAUUUAGAGCUAUGGUCUACCCCGUCCAUCCUCCCCACCCUCCUCAGUGGGGAAAAAUCCUGCCAGCCAUUAUACAAGUGUGCAAGUGUUCCUGUGGACUGCAAACUUACAGUAAGAUGACAAAUUUGAGCGUUGGGCUUAGAGAUGGCUCAGUUGGUUCAGCGUUUGAUGUCUAAGGAUGAAGGCCUGGGUUCCGAUUGCCUUUACCCACUAAAUCGGUGAGGGGAGGGGAGACCCGAGCAUCUCAGGCCUGUCUGUGAGCUCCAGAUUCAUUGAGAUUCUGUCUCAGAGUAAGGUGGAGAGUGUUGGAGGAAGACCCUGACUUCCAAUGUCUGCCCCAUGCACUAGCAUAUACACAAAUGCGUUUGAAUAUUGGAAAUUGUACAUUUGAGCCAGGUGGUGGUGGCAUAAGUAAGCCUUUAAUCCCAGCACUUGGGAGGCAGAGGCAGGUGGAUUUCUGAGUUUGAGGAGAGCCUGGUCUACAGAGAGUUCCAGGACAGCUAGGGUUAUACAGAGAAACCCUGUCUGGAAAAUUGUACAUUUGAAGAGUAGAAUUCCAGGUAACUCCUACAGUGACACAUAGUUUAUAUUUUAAGAUUUAAUUUUGCUAGGCAUGAUGGUGCACUCAAUGAGGCAGAGGCAGGCUGAUCUCUGAGUAAGUAAGUGGACCACCAGAGUUGUAUAGUGAGACCCUGUCUUAAAAAAUCCCAAAACAUUAUUUCUAAUGCCCGGUGUGGUGGCACAGAUCUUCAAUCCCAACACUUGGAAGGCAGAGGCAGACAGAUAGACAGCUUUGUCUAUAUAGUGGAGUUACAGGUCAGCUAUAGCUACAUAAAGAGAUCCUAACUGCAAACAAAGACGAGGGGUUUUUUUUUGUUUGUUUGUUUGUUUUCAAGACAGGGUUUCUCUGUGUAGCCCUGGCUAUCCUGGAAAUAACUCUGUAGGCCACACUGGCCUUGAACUCAGAACUCUACCUGCCUCUGCCACCACUGCCCAGCUCAAAGAUGAAUAUUUGUGUACUGUGUACUCUUUUUCUCCCUUGACCUUCCUGUAAAGGAAUGUCAUAUUGGCAGUUUCCUGUCUGUUCCUUUAUCUCUCCUGCAUGUCAUCCUCCUUUGCUGAGAAUAGGGUCCGCUGCCUCUUCCUAAGUGUUGAGAUUGCAGAGAAAAGCCAGCUUACAUGUGCAUUGGGACCUCUGUUCUGUGAAAGUUUCUAAUUGGUGUACCUUGGGAUUCUAAACGCAUUUGCAAGAAGUACAUUCUAUGUCAGUCUUCUGAAUCAUGAGUAGAUGAUCAUUCCAUAAUAGGUGCUGUAAUAAUUUCACUACAGCAAUCUCCUUCUUCCACCUCAUAAAUCCUGAAAUAAUAGGUAUAUGCCACUGUGCUUGGUGCUGGGGUCCAACCUGGUGCUUGGGCUAUCAAGUGAGCUACAUGCCCAUCCCAAUAACAUAAGUAACAUCCUACUCAUGUUCACUCUAUUCUUGGCUUUAAAAGGGAGCGGUGAGUCUGUGGUAGUUUUAAUCCGAGCACUUGGGUGGCAGAAGCAGGCAGAUCCCUGAGUUCAAGGACAGCCAGGGCUAUGCAGAAACCCGUCUUGGAAAAUCUGCGGUGGUGGUGGUGGUGCUGUGAAGCUGUUUUUCCAUAGGUACCUUAUGUCCGGUUGUUUGAGUUGUUUGUUGUUUUUUCCUUUGGAGAUUUGAGUUUUUAUGUAGCCCUAGGUAUCCUGGAACUCAGAUUGUGUGCCUCUGCCUCCCAAGGCAUAGGCUACUACUGCUCUGCAGUGUGAC
rnacentral:lncRNA from 1 species